CCACUCUCAGGGACGCCUCUGGAGAGUUUCCAGUAACUCUACCUGUCUCGGCUAUAAGAGGGAGAGUCAAGCAGAGGUCUACCCAUUACAUUCCUAGCUUGGGCAGUGGCUAGCGAGUGGAAGGCAAUCUGCUACAAGU